AGUUUGAUCCUGGCUCAGAUUGAACGCUGGCGGCAGGCCUAACACAUGCAAGUCGAGCGGUAGAGAGAAGCUUGCUUCUCUUGAGAGCGGCGGACGGGUGAGUAAUGCCUAGGAAUCUGCCUGGUAGUGGGGGAUAACGUUCGGAAACGGACGCUAAUACCGCAUACGUCCUACGGGAGAAAGCAGGGGACCUUCGGGCCUUGCGCUAUCAGAUGAGCCUAGGUCGGAUUAGCUAGUUGGUGAGGUAAUGGCUCACCAAGGCGACGAUCCGUAACUGGUCUGAGAGGAUGAUCAGUCACACUGGAACUGAGACACGGUCCAGACUCCUACGGGAGGCAGCAGUGGGGAAUAUUGGACAAUGGGCGAAAGCCUGAUCCAGCCAUGCCGCGUGUGUGAAGAAGGUCUUCGGAUUGUAAAGCACUUUAAGUUGGGAGGAAGGGUUGUAGAUUAAUACUCUGCAAUUUUGACGUUACCGACAGAAUAAGCACCGGCUAACUCUGUGCCAGCAGCCGCGGUAAUACAGAGGGUGCAAGCGUUAAUCGGAAUUACUGGGCGUAAAGCGCGCGUAGGUGGUUUGUUAAGUUGGAUGUGAAAUCCCCGGGCUCAACCUGGGAACUGCAUUCAAAACUGACUGACUAGAGUAUGGUAGAGGGUGGUGGAAUUUCCUGUGUAGCGGUGAAAUGCGUAGAUAUAGGAAGGAACACCAGUGGCGAAGGCGACCACCUGGACUAAUACUGACACUGAGGUGCGAAAGCGUGGGGAGCAAACAGGAUUAGAUACCCUGGUAGUCCACGCCGUAAACGAUGUCAACUAGCCGUUGGAAGCCUUGAGCUUUUAGUGGCGCAGCUAACGCAUUAAGUUGACCGCCUGGGGAGUACGGCCGCAAGGUUAAAACUCAAAUGAAUUGACGGGGGCCCGCACAAGCGGUGGAGCAUGUGGUUUAAUUCGAAGCAACGCGAAGAACCUUACCAGGCCUUGACAUCCAAUGAACUUUCUAGAGAUAGAUUGGUGCCUUCGGGAACAUUGAGACAGGUGCUGCAUGGCUGUCGUCAGCUCGUG
rnacentral:rRNA from 1 species